UACAGAGGUCCCAAGCGUUGUUCGGAUUCAUUGGGCGUAAAGGGUGCGUAGGCGGCGCGGUAAGUCGGGUGUGAAAUCUCGGAGCUUAACUCCGAACUGCAUUCGAUACUGCCGUGCUUGAGGACUGGAGAGGAGACUGGAAUUUACGGUGUAGCGGUGAAAUGCGUAGAUAUCGUAAGGAAGACCGAGUGGCGAAGGCGGGUCUCUGGACAGUUCCUGACGCUGAGGCACGAAGGUCAGGGAGCAAACGGG
rnacentral:rRNA from 1 species